rnacentral:rRNA from 1 species
AUUGAACGCUGGCGGCAGGCCUAACACAUGCAAGUCGAGCGGAUGAAGGGAGCUUGCUCCUGGAUUCAGCGGCGGACGGGUGGGUAAUGCCUAGGAAUCUGCCUGGUAGUGGGGGAUAACGUCCGGAAACGGGCGCUAAUACCGCAUACGUCCUGAGGGAGAAAGUGGGGGAUCUUCGGACCUCACGCUAUCAGAUGAGCCUAGGUCGGAUUAGCUAGUUGGUGGGGUAAAGGCCUACCAAGGCGACGAUCCGUAACUGGUCUGAGAGGAUGAUCAGUCACACUGGAGCUGAGACACGGUCCAGACUCCUACGGGAGGCAGCAGUGGGGAAUAUUGGACAAUGGGCGAAAGCCUGAUCCAGCCAUGCCGCGUGUGUGAAGAAGGUCUUCGGAUUGUAAAGCACUUUAAGUUGGGAGGAAGGGCAGUAAGUUAAUACCUUGCUGUUUUGACGUUACCAACAGAAUAAGCACCGGCUAACUUCGUG